GGAUCAUUUCAUUCUUUCCUGACAAAUGAGGCUCAGUUUCACCUUUGUGGCAAACUUCAGGCAGAGGAUGGGGAAAGAAUACUGAGCCUGCCCCUCCACACUCUGCAGAGCCUCCAGCUCCCAAAGUGGGGUGCAAGUGUCCAGCAGAAGGUCUCCUGCCCCACAAAGCCUUCAGUUCAAAGGAACUUGCUUGAGGAUAGCAUUUAAUUGACCUCAGUGAUGGAGCACCAGCAGGAUGCCUUUUGCCUAGCAACAACCUCCAGAUCCCUUGCUUUUCUUGGAGCAGAUCUUCAAAUCAGCCAUGACACCUGACACCAGAACUAGAGAACAGAAAAAAACCCAGUAGUUACCGUGAUACCCCUGGUCCUCCUCUCUUCCUUCUCCUGUGCAUCAGCAUCCACAACCACACAUGGAGCUGCCACAUGAGAGGUGAAUACAGUCAAGCCAUGCCAGCUGCUGCUGAGAGAGAGAAGGGCAGGCAGAUCUACAGCCACAGGGGGUUGAAAUGAUCUCUCAGGAUGGGCUAAAUAAGGUAAAAAUUGAUUGUUUGGACAAAGAGAAGUAAAACCAGUGAGUUUUUCUUUCAGCACUCCAAGUGCUGAAGUAUCACCUUUGGACCACAUCAUAUCUGGUGGUCUGCACUCGUUUGGUCAAUGUCCUCUGGUGGAGCAAUGCUUUGAAGUUGGUAACAAAGGGAGAAGGCAGAGACAGCUGUUCACAUCUUACCCUCCAGAGUGCAGGAGAAGUUUCCCACCUUAUGCUUUUCUUUCCUGUGCUUUUGCCCAAGAAUGUAUCUCUGUGGGCAUUUGUAUUCUGACAUGCCUGAGCUCUGUGAGUAUGCUCUGUGAGUCACCCCCAAGAUGGAAGAUGGAGAGCUGAAAUCAGCAUGGGGCUGAGUCCAGUGCAGAAGCUCCAUCCUACAAGAGGCUGUAGCUUGUGCAGAUCCAGCACUGGGUGUAUUAUUUCAGCCUGGCUCAGAGCGCUACCAGGACAAGCUGAAAAAACCCCACUGUUUUUUUAGUCUAAGCCUCUUAUAGAAACAUGGUUUUCAGACAUGUCUGGGUAACAUCUGGAGUAGCUGGCCAUGAGAUUUCAAGGGAAAUUAUAUUUUCUUGAAAGUGUGCUCCUUUUGGGUUUAUUCUGAUGCAAAACUGAGGAGUGGACUUUGUUCUCUGCUGAAUGGGAGGGUGUUUGCAGCAACAUUAUGGACAACAAUUGAGUUAGUCUCCAUUUAUAACAUCUGAGAGUUGAAUCUGGCCUGCAGUCGAGCCAGUAAGUCUCACGGGAUCUUAUGUACACUGUUUUGAAAACCUAUUUUUUAAGGAAAACAAAGGAAGUUCCCGUAAUUUGAAGCUCAUAAUGUUUGCAGUAAUCCAGCUAUACAAAACCAAAUGCCCCCCAAGUAAAAGUCCAUUAGGCAGCAAACAAUAACUUUUUCCUGGUGCCCUGCUGCUCUGAAAGAAGGACCAGCCCUGUUUUCUUCAGGAGGGAGCACAGAGGGUCCAGUGCAUGUAGACCUCACCAAGAAUGGAAGAAGAGAUGGCUGAAAGGAAGGCUGGGCUUGAGCUUGAGCAGAUCCAAACUCUGCUCUCAUGCAGGCUGCCUGGUUGAACUUGAGCAUCACUUUGCUGCUCUUCCCAUCUGUCAGAUGGGAUUACUGCUCCACUCAGGCACUACAGGGAUGGGGGCCACGCAAGAGCCUGUAGCAAGAUGAAGGCUUUCUGAUCUUGCAGCUCCUGACAUCUGUGCUGGUAACAAAAAGGCCACAGGUGUAGGUGGCUUUAUGACGAGGAAACUGCAUCGAGACCUGAAACAAACCAAGACCACUGGCUUCUUUGUCUUAAUGAAAGCAGCUCAACAGAGAGCUAUUUCCAACAGUUUUGAUAUGUGAAUAGGAAUCCUGAUUCUCUGGGGGGUUAGGGUUAUCAUUUCCCAUUAGUGUUCAUGCUGCUCCCCAAUAAUACUUUCCCUUGUCUUUUGUUGUCUCUUCUUCCCCUUCCCCUUCAAUUCCUUAUUUCUGUUUCACUGUUCCUGCUUUUAUUUUCUUCCAUCCAUCAGUUCUCAGAAUUUUUUCAAAGCCAGACUAACUGUUAAAUCACAGCCUUCUUUCACAAACCAACUCCUGAUAUGUGCUUAUAUUUUAACCCAAAAUGUACUUUUCUCAUCCCACCUCUCAGUGGCUGAAAUAAGCAGAAUGCCUGAACAUACUGAGGAGUACAUUUCUAUUGCGUAAGGAAGGGAGAAAAAGAAAAAUCCACAGCCCUGAGACUCCCAGGAGUACUGGGAGCUGGCAGCACUCCUUUUGCCCAGUUUUGCAGGUACCAAACUGCUGUUUUCUAAUCCAGUAACUGGGUUUCCACUGAUGUGAGAGUGUCUAUAUUCAUACUGUAAUCAACAUCCACAUCCUGGCCGUAUUUUAAAUUGGAUUAGGGUGUGAGUUUCCUUCUCCUUUUACAAUCAACAUGAGCAAAUGUUUUGUUUAUCAAAGCAAUCUGAGUGAUGCAUAAUGGAAAGCAUUAGAUCUAUCUGGAACACUUAUAACCCUGGAGUAGGUGCGUUACAAUAACGGGAAAUCUAUUCUGCUAAAAGCUUCCUUUGGGAUCAUUAUCUAGAGACCUGCUAACCCUGCAAUUGUUCCCACAGCCCCAGUACCUUCUUCAGAAACAAAAUGAAGACCAUAGCUGCCUGCUUGAGUAUGAACAGCCCAGCUUGCUGGUGCACAGGUGGAUGCAGCUCCCCAUGUGGAUGCAAUGCUUUCCUCCCCAGGUGAUGAGAAAUUGUAGACUGAGUGCUUUGAAUGGAGGUUUCCCCACUGCUGCAAAUCUUUCUCAUUUAAAACCCAUGAGGGAAAGAGGUCCUCUGUGUCUGACAGCCUCCUUGACUUCUUUUUUACUAAACAGGAGAGUUUUAUAUAUAAACCAAAUGUAUGCUUCCAUUUCCAAAGAGUGAGGGCCUGAUGUAUAUGUAUAAAUAAACGG